rnacentral:rRNA from 1 species
UACGUAGGGGGCAAGCGUUGUCCGGAUUUAUUGGGCGUAAAGAGCGUGUAGGCGGCCAUGUAGGUCCGUUGUGAAAACUCGAGGCUCAACCUCGAGACGCCGAUGGAAACCAUGUGGCUAGAGUCCGGAAGAGGAGAGUGGAAUUCCUGGUGUAGCGGUGAAAUGCGCAGAUAUCAGGAGGAACACCGGUGGCGAAGGCGGUUCUCUGGGAAUAUCCUGACGCUGAGGAGCGAAAGUGUGGGGAGCGAACAGG